AGAGUUUGAUCCUGGCUCAGGAUGAACGCUAGCGGCAGGCCUAACACAUGCAAGUCGAGGGGUAGAGUUCUUCGGAACUUGAGACCGGCGCACGGGUGCGUAACGCGUAUGCAAUCUACCUUAUACAGGGGAAUAGCCCAGAGAAAUUUGGAUUAAUGCCCCAUAGUGUUAUAGAAUCGCAUGGUUUUAUAACUAAAGUUCCAACGGUAUAAGAUGAGCAUGCGUCCCAUUAGUUAGUUGGUAAGGUAACGGCUUACCAAGACAAUGAUGGGUAGGGGUCCUGAGAGGGAGAUCCCCCACACUGGUACUGAGACACGGACCAGACUCCUACGGGAGGCAGCAGUGAGGAAUAUUGGUCAAUGGGCGCAAGCCUGAACCAGCCAUGCCGCGUGCAGGAAGACGGUCCUAUGGAUUGUAAACUGCUUUUAUACAGGAAGAAACCUCCCUACGUGUAGGGACUGACGGUACUGUAGAAUA
rnacentral:rRNA from 1 species